ACGAACGCUGGCGGCAUGCCUAACACAUGCCAGUCGGACGAGACCUUCGGGUCUAGUGGCGCACGGGUGCGUAACGCGUGGGAACCUGCCCCUAGGUUCGGAAUAACUCCCCGAAAGGGGUGCUAAUACCGGAUAAUGUCUUCGGACCAAAGAUUUAUCGCCUUUGGAUGGGCCCGCGUUGGAUUAGCUAGUUGGUAGGGUAAAAGCCUACCAAGGCGACGAUCCAUAGCUGGUCUGAGAGGAUGAUCAGCCACACUGGGACUGAGACACGGCCCAGACUCCUACGGGAGGCAGCAGUGGGGAAUAUUGGACAAUGGGCGAAAGCCUGAUCCAGCAAUGCCGCGUGAGUGAUGAAGGCCUUAGGGUUGUAAAGCUCUUUUACCCGGGAUGAUAAUGACAGUACCGGGAGAAUAAGCUCCGGCUAACUCCGUG
rnacentral:rRNA from 1 species